UCAAACUGAAUGACUUUCUUCUGUAGAACACAAAAUGAGAUGUUCGGAAGAAUGUUCAUGCUGCUCAUUUCCAGACAUCGGAAACAUUAUGGAAAGAGAUCAAAAGUAGUCCAAACAGUUAAAGCAUUAUAUUCCAAGUCUUCUGAAGUCAUAUGGCAGCUUUAUAUGCUCCAGUUGAAAUCAUUAUUUAUUAAAAUCAUCAUGUUAUGAGACACAUGACCACUGCCGAUGAUCGCAGACCUGGUGCACAUUAACACAUUAUUUGAAUUAUGUGCAAACUGAGAGUUACUGCUGAUACUUCCAUGGUGCUUUUUUUAAUUCACUUUCAAUAUGCUGAAAAAAAAAGCAGCAUGAAAGCAGUGUGAUUUUUGGAACAGCAUGACAUUGAGUUUGGACCUAAUGAUGACAGUUUUUAUUUUCAAGUGAACUGUCCCUUUAACAGUGUGUAUCCUAUUCAACAGGGCUUAGACUUCUCACUUUACUACAGUGGCACUUUUGUAAAACAUUUAAGCCUAAACAAAUAAUCCAAUAGCCUUGCAGGGUCUUUAUUUUCAGACGUCCUGCCCACUGCUGAGAGACGCCUCUCCUCGAGCCUGUCAAACGGGGCUGUGAUGUUCAGCAGAGCUUUUUCACCGCUUUCCCAAAUGACACUACCAUUUAUUAAGUGUCAGAGGAGCUUUUUUUUGUGUGUUUGGAAUCCAUCUGUUUCUGAACUUUUUUUUUGUGUGUGUUGCUGAAACGCCGAAAUGAAGGAUCAGACGAGGUUUUGUUGCCCCUCGGAGUGAUUCCUGAAUGGUUUCAUCAUCAAACGUCUCAUGUUUCACUUAAAAAGCAACAACAACAACAGCCGUAUUAAAAGAUUUCAAUCUGAAUAUUAUGAAAGCUCCCUUGUUUUCCCACAGAUUUUCUGGUCAUGCAUUUAAUAUCAGAGUAAAUUUUGUCAAAGCUGUUUGUGCAAUAAAUGAACCGAACAUGUCAGAA